rnacentral:rRNA from 1 species
GAUGAACGCUGGCGGCGUGCCUAAUACAUGCAAGUCGAGCGAAUGGAUUAAGAGCUUGCUCUUAUGAAGUUAGCGGCGGACGGGUGAGUAACACGUGGGUAACCUGCCCAUAAGACUGGGAUAACUCCGGGAAACCGGGGCUAAUACCGGAUAACAUUUUGAACCGCAUGGUUCGAAAUUGAAAGGCGGCUUCGGCUGUCACUUAUGGAUGGACCCGCGUCGUAUUAGCUAGUUGGUGAGGUAACGGCUCACCAAGGCAACGAUGCGUAGCCGACCUGGGAGGGUGAUCGGCCACACUGGGACUGAGACGCGGCCCAGACUCCUACGGGAGGCAGCAGUAGGGAAUCUUCCGAAAUGGACGAAAGUCUGACGGAGCAACGCCGCGUGAGUGAUGAAGGCUUUCGGGUCGUAAAACUCUGUUGUUAGGGAAGAACAAGUGCUAGUUGAAUAAGCUGGCACCUUGACGGUACCUAACCAGAAAGCCACGGCUAACUACGUGCCAGCCGCCGCCGUAA